UUGAACCCUGUGAGUAACUGAUUUACAUCAUUAACAUUAUUUAUAUGACGCAUCUUAUAAAAAUAACUCUACUUGUGUUGGACAACAAAAAAGUGACA